UUUCCCGGGGAUCGUCGAACCCAGCUAGUCGGCUUAUUAACUUUUAUGAGAGAACAACGGGCGGACGCAAGUGAGAAAGGGAUAGGAGAAAAGGCGCGGACAGAAGGCGACCCAACGGCCAUUUGCAGCUUGCGAAAAUAUCCUUUGCCAUUCGCUUACAAUGGAAUUAUACACCGGGGAAAUUUUUUCCCUACAAGAUUUAUCGGGAAAAGCACGAUUUAAUACGUAGCACGUUCCCCGAUAAUAUUGGAACUUUUUCAACGAGUUCACGUUUGUAACUUUCGAUAAUUAUUCCAACCUUUCGCGUGGAAGAUGGAAGACGCGUGACAAAGGAAGCGUGAAACACAAGGUUCGAGUAGAUGGAGGAACGGAAAGAGGAGGGGAGGAGUAAAGAAUGUGCCCGCGAAGAGAGUAAAAAGAAGGAAAAAACGGUGGAAUGGAUGAAGAAAGAAAGGAAGGAAGGAAGGAAGGAAGGAAGGAAAGGAGGGAGGGAGAGAACAAUAGUGUUCAGCCAAUUACGUAGUUCACCGGCAACGUCGACGAGGGCGCAACAAUCUUCAUUCCUUUCAAUUCUUUCAUUCCUUGUAUCGUGGGCAAAGAAGAGAGACCAGAAGCCGAUUGCCGAAAAAUUCUUCCAGAAAAUUCGCGCACCAUGAGAAGGGAACCGGAUCAAAAGGAUUCGUUAUCGUGCUCUUCCCUCCCUUCCUAGUUACGCCGAGACUGCUUGGGAUUAAGAGAUUUCGUGGCGUGGAAUUUAUGGCAUGGGUUUCUUCACUUCUGCUGGGACUUCAUAAAUAUACGGAUAGUUGACGGGCGGAUGGACGGCUGUUUCGUGGACGGCGCAUUUGUCUCGUUUGUCGAAACAGGCGUUAUCGAUAAGGGAAGGAAAAUCCAAUAGAACCGCUGUUCGAAAAGUCGUUUUCGAUACAUCCGGAGAUACGAGAUAUAUUUUGUCGAGUUGGCGAGUGUCUGACCCGAUUAUGGAUCGAUAUACGUUUCACGCAUCGCUACAUCAGCGAAUUUUCUAAUCUCUGCGUUUAUAUUCUUAAAUCUUAAAUUGACUAUAUUGCAUUUUUGAAAUUGCGAAAUUAGAAAUUCGAAUCGUACAAUAUCGUUAUAACGUCGAAUAAAAUAGAAAGCACGCGAUGCAAGUAAACAGAUAUCGGUCUGGAACAAUCAGAUUUGUGCCUAGUUUAUCGCGCGAAUUGAACGAAAUCGUGAAACGGUUGUGCUCUAACGUUUUCUAUGCAAAACUUCUUCCAAAUCGCUUACAACGGUUACGCAAACAUCCGAUCGGAUUAUCGAUGAAGCGUGUAGCAUCAAAAAGUGUUUACUUUACAUUGGUAUAAGGCCGGAACAAAGAAAGAGGAAAGUAGGACGAAAUAGAAAAUUAAAGGAGGCGAGUCAGUGGGUCGACAAUGAAGGUGAAGGAAAAGGAUGGUGGAAUCUUUGGGAAUACGGGAAUGAAAGAAAAUCUUUAUAUAUAUGUGUAAUGUAUUUUUCUUUCUUCUUCGACGAUCCUCGUAUUUACUUGUUUGGAAUCGUGCUCCGUGGCGUGGAAUUAUCGAGGAUGGCAAAUAUAAAGAGUAUCGAAAACCACUCGAACCAAGGAAGGAAUAAAGUGGGAUAAAUGCGUAGAGGAUGGAUGGACAAAACGAAGAAACUGGUACUGGUGUGUCCCAAGGUAAUUAAGCAAAGUAUCGUGCUACGUACAUACGAGUGAAGGAAAAACGAGGAAAAAGUAGAAUGCUACGAGGUUGUAGGAGGUGUUAGAUCAAGGGAAUUGACCGAGUCGUCUCUGCCUUCGCAUCCUUUACUUCGUUCCACGAAUGCGGUCAGAGCGUGUCGUUGCUUGCUUUUAAAUCGAAUCGACGAAGAAACCGUUCGUCGUUAAUUUAAUAAAACUAUCAGCCACGACGUACAUUUUAACGAGCCUCUACCUGUUGUUCUCCCUUUCAUUGAAUUUAUUCGUGUCGCGAACGUAAAACAAACGGGGUUGAAUAGCCAUUGCGACGAAGUGAAGAGGAUAAAAUUAGACAGGUAAAACAGAAUAUAUUUAACAGCUUAACGGUCAAGGUUUUUCUAUAUAGAUUUGUACGUAGAUGAAAAUUAUGAUCAUUUUUAAAAUAAUCGUAAUAAGUCGUAAAUAGCAUGUGUAUAAAUUUAACAACGAACGGUUAAAUGGAUUCUUAUUACGUUGUAUUGACGUUUGAUUUUCGUUCGUUAUAAAUAACAGAACAAAAGAAAAGAACAUUUGUGUUUUAAUUUAAAAGAUAUUGAUAAAAAAUUUUUAAUUCUUGAUACAUUGUAUGAAAAAAACAAAUUUUUCUUAAAUUUUGUUACGUAAUUGAAUUUCUUAUUAAAAAAAAAAAUUUUUUUUUUACGCCAUCUAGUUUUUGAGAUAUUUAAAAAAAUAUAUUUUUUAACACUCCAUUUUGGAGAAUGAUUUCACUCAUUCAAGGUGAAUAUCAACUGAUAAAAAAAAUAUUCAAUUUUUGUCAAAUAUUUUUUUUUUUUUUGAGAACUAUCUCCUGUAUAAAUUUCAUCAGAAUCAGAAUGUGUAGAUUUCGAUACGUUCCUUUUUAAAAUACCAAUUCAGAUAUGAAUUUGCAUAUCAAUGGUAUCAGUUGAUUAAUAAAUAUUAUUUCAUAUUGUAAGUAAUUAUUGCGAUUCUUCGAAUAUACAUUAGUUUUAUUUAAAUUUCAAAUCAUAUUAUAUAAGAUGAUUAUGA